rnacentral:rRNA from 1 species
UGGCGGACGGGUGAGUAAUGCUUGGGAAUCUGGCUUAUGGAGGGGGAUAACUACGGGAAACUGUAGCUAAUACCGCGUAGUAUCGAGAGAUGAAAGACUGGGACCGCAAGGCCAGUUGCCAUAAGAUGAGCCCAAGUGGGAUUAGGUAGUUGGUGGGGUAAAGGCCUACCAAGCCGACGAUCUCUAGCUGGUCUGAGAGGAUGACCAGCCACACUGGAACUGAGACACGGUCCAGACUCCUACGGGAGGCAGCAGUGGGGAAUAUUGCACAAUGGGGGGAACCCUGAUGCAGCCAUGCCGCGUGAAUGAAGAAGGCCUUCGGGUUGUAAAGUUCUUUCGGUGAUGAGGAAGGGUGGUGUUUUAAUAGAACAUUACAUUGACGUUAGUCACAGAAGAAGCACCGGCUAACUCCGUGCCAGCAGCCGCGGUAAUACGGAGGGUGCGAGCGUUAAUCGGAAUGACUGGGCGUAAAGGGCACGCAGGCGGUGACUUAAGUGAGAUGUGAAAGCCCCGAGCUUAACUUGGGAAUUGCAUUGCAUACUGGGUUGCUAGAGUAUUUUAGGGAGGGGUAGAAUUCCACGUGUAGCGGUGAAAUGCGUAGAGAUGUGGAGGAAUACCGAAGGCGAAGGCAGCCCCUUGGGAAAAUACUGAC